rfam:Celeribacter marinus strain IMCC 12053, complete genome.
UGGUCGGGAGCAUUCGGUGGGACGAAUGCAGGAAUAGACCGGACAGCUUCGUUUCGUAAGGGUACAUGCGCCGGCGCCCACCGGUAUAUGUG